AUUUGCUGAACAGCAUGAAUUUCCGGUGUGGAGCUCGCAGGGAUUUUUUAGAGUAAAAGCUCACGACGAUGGGAGAUGACUUACUUUUCAAAACAAUGUUUAGGUGCUUUAUAACAGUGAAGUUAGGACAGCUAAUGCUGGUCAGAUUUGAUAAGGAUGAACAGUUUUGAUUUACUGAAGAGAGAGGAUCUCAUCCUGCUUUGUGAAAUAACCAGAAGGGUAUUUCAUAAAGUUGGAUUUUUCAGCAUAGUUAGAUAAGUUGAAGGGGAACUCCACCAAUUUUCAAAAUUUCUACAUGAUUUAGCGGUUUAGAUGUAAACAAACCCAUUGAAAGUGGUUCGGUGUGAAAUGCUGGAGAAACGUAUUCGUAUUAUUCGUAUAUAUUAAACGUAUAAUUUGGGUGUUGAUGUCAACUCCGAGUGAACAAGUCUUGCUCAGUUGUAAGUCAGAUUCUUAUCUGCUGUGCCAACUCCAGAUGAGGUCUGAUGAACGGAAUCAGCAUCGAGGUCUUUCCUGCACUGUCUUGUUGGUCAGCAGCAGGCUGAUGCAGUAACGUGAGGCUUAGAGACUCGGAGUGGACAGAGACUUGCCGUCAUUCCAUUGAAGUUUUGCUGUUGCUGCUUUGCCUUCAGGCAUCAUUAUGGUAGGAGUAAUUAUUGUCUCAAAGAGAGCAGGCAUCAACCUUGAUAACAUAGCAAUACCAAUUGCAGCCAGCUUUGGUGACCUCAUCACUCUGGGUUCUUCGAAUUUGUUGAGCCCUCCCCCUGUAUUUUUAUAUGGUGCGUGUUCUCUUUCUGUGUCUGACGCCAGUUUGGGUAAUAAUUUCUUUACGUCACCCAGAGAGCCGCAGGCUGCUGUACUGCAGCUGCAAGCCCAUAAUCACAGCCAUGGUCACCAGUAGGUCAGUGGAUACUGACUGUGAUAUUACCCUUAGAAACCUGAUGAGAUCAAUUCACCUUGUUUCUCGUAGUGGUCAUAGUUUUAUACAAUAUGGUGUACAUUUCCAAUGUUAUCAAAUAAAUUGUAUGAGUACACUCAAAUAUGUCAUUCAGCCUUUACACCUUUAGUUAGGAUGUGACAUUACCCAAGAGAAAAACUUAUUUGAUUGUCUUAUUUUAUGUAGGACUUCAGAAUCCAGAAGAAAUGCAAUCAUAUCACAUCAUCAUAGUGCAGGGUUUUAGAGGGAUUUUGACUAUUUGCCACUUUUUUAUAAUAAAUAAAACAUUUCCAGUCGAUUUAUACAUUAUAUUUCAAUAUUGGACAUGUACACUGUUUUAAGGCAUACAGAUCUAAACAGUCAGGGUUCCCUUAAAUAUGGAAUAAUGUAAACACUUGUCCUUCUGUAUGUCUUCAGCCUGGGAGGACUCAUUUUGGACAGAGCCAUGACUGAUCCAAACCUAAUGGGAGUAGUCCUUUACAUACCUAUUAU